rnacentral:lncRNA from 1 species
UAAACCCAUAAAUUACACCAAGUAAGUUGAGCGAGCUUACCUUCAGUGUGAGAGAUUCAAGAGCCUUCAUACCCUCAUCAAAAUCGAGGUCCUUUCGAUACUUGUCCACGAUGCUGGACACCAGGGGACACCAGUCAGGAUCUUGAUUUUGGAACGAGGGCAUAGGUGGGACCUCAUCCUCGAGGUCAACAACCUCGGG